CUCGUUCCCCGGGAAGAGUUCUCUUUUCUUCUUAACUGCCUCGUGCCCUGGAAUCGGUUUAGCCGGAGCGAGGGCUGCACGGCAGGCAAAGCACCCUAAGUCUUGGGGUGUCCGGCGCGCCCGCGACGGCCCGUGAAAAUCCGGGGGAGCGGUUCGUUCUCACGCUCGGUCGUACUCAUAACCGCAUCAGGUCUCCAAGGUGAGCAGCCUCUAGUCGAUAGAGCAAUGUAGGUAAGGGAAGUCGGCAAAAUGGUUCCGCAACUUCGGGAGAAGGAAUGGCUCUGAAGGCUGGGUGCGGGGGUCCUCCGCUUGAGGCCGGCUGGCUGCGCUGGGACUACGGCCUUUGCGCCGCGGACCCGGCGCGGCCGUCCGGCGGACGGCGGAGGAGCGCUCCGGCAUUCCCCGCACGCUGAACAGCCGCUUCAGAACUGGCGCGGACAAGGGGAAUCCGACUGUUUA
rnacentral:rRNA from 1 species